GAUCUCCCUGUUGCUGUCUCAGACCAGGAGCUGUUCUUCUCCCCUUUCCUUCUGAGGAGGGGAAGUGAGAGAGCAGCUGUGUGGUGCUUAGCUGCCCAUCCUUGUUAAAUCACCAUACCUGAAUCACGAUUUUCAAAAGCAAGCAGCUGAACUUGGUUUGUAUGGGGCACAUUUUAAAGAUACGUAGGAGGGUAAGGAUGAAGAUAGGAAUGUAACUCUUCUAGGCAUAGAAAUAUUUUGGAAUACUGCACAAGCUGUCCUUGAAAAGCAGAGUUAAUGGCCUUAUUUUCAGAAGUGUUGAGUACCCACCUGCUGUCUAAAUGCAGUAUUUCUGAGAACUAAACCACUGAAUUUGGUUCCUUAGAUAAAUAGGGACAAAUUUGGACAAACAUCAAGCUCUUUUAGAGGUUCCAUUUCUUCAAUCUACUUUGGAAAUGAGGCCUUUGGAACAUCCUUUGGAACAAAACAUGUUUCAGCAAUGAUCAUUGGUAAAGGGGAGCAGAACAUAAUUUAGGCACAAAAAUUUGUACCGGGAUUCAUUAGAUGACAAUGUCAUCUGAUCAAAUUGAUGGAAAUCUAUUGAACUGCAUGAACUAUAUGUUUUCAAAAGCACAAAUAACAGGGAAGAUGUUGCCAGCACUUCCUUGUCUGACUUUUAGAAAAUUCCACAGUUUUAUAGCUUUAUAUUCCAAGGGCAGGAUGAGCACAGGUGCUGUUGUUUCUUUUCCCCCAAAGGAAAUUUUGUGAGGAAAAGGAAUUAUGGAUGAUUUAAGUAUG